GGGCCCGUAGCUCAGCGGUAGAGCGCCGGCCUUGCGAGCCGGAGGUCGCGGGUUCGAGUCCCGCCGGGUCCACCA
rnacentral:tRNA from 1 species